rnacentral:rRNA from 1 species
GAUCAUGGCUCAGAUUGAACGCUGGCGGCAGGCCUAACACAUGCAAGUCUAACGGUAACAGAAAGCAGCUUGCUGCUUUGCUGACGAGUGGCGGACGGGUGAGUAAUGUCUGGGAAACUGCCUGAUGGAGGGGGAUAACUACUGGAAACGGUAGCUAAUACCGCAUAACGUCGCAAGACCAAAGAGGGGGACCUUCGGGCCUCUUGCCAUCGGAUGUGCCCAGAUGGGAUUAGUCG